CACGUAGGGGGCGAGCGUUGUCCGGAUUUAUUGGGCGUAAAGAGCUCGUAGGCGGCUUUGUCAGUCGGGUGUGAAACCUCCAGGCUCAACCUGGAGCCGCCACCCGAUACUGCAAUAGCUAGAGUCCGGUAGGGGAGCAUGGAACUCCUGGUGUAGCGGUGAAAUGCGCAGAUAUCAGGAAGAACACCGUGGCGAAGGCGGUGCUCUGGGCCGGAACUGACGCUGAGGAGCGAAAGCGUGGGGAGCAAACAGG
rnacentral:rRNA from 1 species